AGUAAUGUCUGGGAAACUGCCCGAUGGAGGGGGAUAACUACUGGAAACGGUAGCUAAUACCGCAUAACGUCGCAAGACCAAAGAGGGGGACCUUGGGCCUCUUGCCAUCGGAUGUGCCCAGAUGGGAUUAGCUAGUAGGUGGGGUAACGGCUCACCUAGGCGACGAUCCCUAGCUGGUCUGAGAGGAUGACCAGCCACACUGGAACUGAGACACGGUCCAG
rnacentral:rRNA from 1 species